rnacentral:rRNA from 1 species
GGGACACGUGGUAUCCUGUCUGAAUAUGGGGGGACCAUCCUCCAAGGCUAAAUACUCCUGACUGACCGAUAGUGAACCAGUACCGUGAGGGAAAGGCGAAAAGAACCCCGGCGAGGGGAGUGAAAAAGAACCUGAAACCGUGUACGUACAAGCAGUGGGAGCCUCUUUUAUGGGGUGACUGCGUACCUUUUGUAUAAUGGGUCAGCGACUUAUAUUCUGUAGCAAGGUUAACCGAAUAGGGGAGCCGAAGGGAAACCGAGUCUUAACUGGGCGUUAAGUUGCAGGGUAUAGACCCGAAACCCGGUGAUCUAGCCAUGGGCAGGUUGAAGGUUGGGUAACACUAACUGGAGGACCGAACCGACUAAUGUUGAAAAAUUAGCGGAUGACUUGUGGCUGGGGGUGAAAGGCCAAUCAAACCGGGAGAUAGCUGGUUCUCCCCGAAAGCUAUUUAGGUAGCGCCUCGUGAAUUCAUCUCCGGGGGUAGAGCACUGUUUCGGCAAGGGGGUCAUCCCGACUUACCAACCCGAUGCAAACUGCGAAUACCGGAGAAUGUUAUCACGGGAGACACACGGCGGGUGCUAACGUCCGUCGUGAAGAGGGAAACAACCCAGACCGCCAGCUAAGGUCCCAAAGUCAUGGUUAAGUGGGAAACGAUGUGGGAAGGCCCAGACAGCCAGGAUGUUGGCUUAGAAGCAGCCAUCAUUUAAAGAAAGCGUAAUAGCUCACUGGUCGAGUCGGCCUGCGCGGAAGAUGUAACGGGGCUAAACCAUGCACCGAAGCUGCGGCAGCGACACUAUGUGUUGUUGGGUAGGGGAGCGUUCUGUAAGCCUGUGAAGGUGUACUGUGAGGUAUGCUGGAGGUAUCAGAAGUGCGAAUGCUGACAUAAGUAACGAUAAAGCGGGUGAAAAGCCCGCUCGCCGGAAGACCAAGGGUUCCUGUCCAACGUUAAUCGGGGCAGGGUGAGUCGACCCCUAAGGCGAGGCCGAAAGGCGUAGUCGAUGGGAAACAGGUUAAUAUUCCUGUACUUGGUGUUACUGCGAAGGGGGGACGGAGAAGGCUAUGUUGGCCGGGCGACGGUUGUCCCGGUUUAAGCGUGUAGGCUGGUUUUCCAGGCAAAUCCGGAAAAUCAAGGCUGAGGCGUGAUGACGAGGCACUACGGUGCUGAAGCAACAAAUGCCCUGCUUCCAGGAAAAG